rnacentral:rRNA from 1 species
CCUACGGGAGGCAGCAGUGGGGAAUAUUGCACAAUGGGCGAAAGCCUGAUGCAGCAACGCCGCGUGAACGAUGAAGGUCUUCGGAUCGUAAAGUUCUGUUGCAGGGGAAGAUAAUGACGGUACCCUGUGAGGAAGCCCCGGCUAACUACGUGCCAGCAGCCGCGGUAAUACGUAGGGGGCUAGCGUUAUCCGGAUUUACUGGGCGUAAAGGGGGCGUAGGUGGUCCUUCAAGUCGGUGGUUAAAGGCUACGGCUCAACCGUAGUAAGCCGCCGAAACUGGAGGACUUGAGUGCAGGAGAGGAAAGUGGAAUUCCCAGUGUAGCGGUGAAAUGCGUAGAUAUUGGGAGGAACACCAGUAGCGAAGGCGGCUUUCUGGACUGCAACUGACACUGAGGCACGAAAGCGUGGGUAGCAAACAGGAUUAGAUACCCCAGUAGUC